CAUGGCCACAGGUGGAGCAUUUAGUGUGGCUGCCAUUCUUUGCUCAGUCUAUACACAGGAAAGACAGGGUGACCUCAAGGCUACAAGCAGUAGUCCAGCUCUCUGGGCUUAAUGACCUUGGUGGUCUGCUGGGUAUUAUCACAUACACUUUCCUUUCACACAGCUGUGACUCCACUUAGCCGGAACUGCACUCACAGUGAAAAUGAGGAAACAGACUUUCCCAUUAGCAAACAACACUUCCAUGAGCAACCCUUUCUGAGAGGCUGCUUAAAGAAGAUGCUAUGACUCCUUCUAUCCCUUCUGUACAAUACACCAUGUGGAUGUUCAUUGCUGCCUAUGGUAAAAAUCCCAGCCUUCACUCCAAGCAAUUUUACCUUUUGGUCCUCAGCUCCCUACUUCUUGGAGGCACUACUGUGCCAAGGUACCACAGAAGUCCUUGGACAUCAGAGUACCUGAUGAUGAUUGUGACUCUACAGUCCAAUGCUGCUGAACACCCAGAGCCUACCUAAUGCUGUAUGUCUCUGUAUAAAACACAUAAACAUUCA